rnacentral:rRNA from 1 species
GACGAACGCUGGCGGCGUGCUUAACACAUGCAAGUCGAACGGAAAGGCCCUGCUUUUGUGGGGUGCUCGAGUGGCGAACGGGUGAGUAACACGUGAGUAACCUGUCCUUGACUUUGGGAUAACUUCAGGAAACUGGGGCUCAUACCGGAUAGGAGCUCCUGCUGCAUGGUGGGGGUUGGAAAGUUUCGGCGGUUGGGGAUGGACUCGCGGCUUAUGAGCUUGUUGGUGGGGUAGUGGCUUACCAAGGCUUUGACGGGUAGCCGGCCUGAGAGGGUGACCGGCCACAUUGGGACUGAGAUACGGCCCAGACUCCUACGGGAGGCAGCAGUGGGGAAUAUUGCACAAUGGGCGGGAGCCUGAUGCAGCAACGCCGCGUGCGGGAAGACGGCCUUCGGGGUGUAAACCGCUGUCGCCUGUGACGAGGCGUGAGUGACGGUAAUGGGUAAAGAAGCACCGGCUAACUACGUG